rnacentral:tRNA from 1 species
ACUUCGAUGGUACAAUCGGUAAGCACAACAGGCCGAACAGCUGCAGAUGCGGGUUUGAGACCCGCCUGAGGUA